UCCUUUCCUACUUACAGAGAGGUGUCCUGGCAAGCUCCUGCAGAGCCGCAAGGAGCUUCCUCUCCCCAUGCUGCCAAGCUCAGGGGCAGGCUUGAGGCAGCAAGACACAGAGAAGACGACUUCUGCCAGUCUGCUCCCACUGUGUCCAGGCAACUCCCUCAGGACAAAGGAGGCCAGCAAGCAGAAACCAGCUCCUCCAGCCACGUCCACAGCUGCCCUCACUAUUCCCCAGGGCUGUAGGAGAAUAUUGCAGGAAACCUGGAAGAUGUCUGCGCAGUGGGACCGUAGGCAGAGGCUGGGGUCCUUGUACCAAGAGCGGCACAAACAAGCACAGGCAGAAUGGGCAGCGUGGGAAGCCUGGUUUGCAGGUCACAAUCAAGAGCCAGCCCAGUUGUCCUCUGAGAAAGACCUGAGCCCCAGGGAGGAUUCUUCUAGGAUUCUGGAGAAGUCAGCACUGGCUGAAAUUGACAGGAAGAGAAGUACACCAGAGAGCAGAGGACAUCUGGAGUUUGGCAGUGAGAAGACUUGGGCUCCCCCUCCUCCAGCCCAGUCCAGCCCAGGAGAAAAGAGAACAAGGAGAGGUGGGAAAAGGCCAAAAACCCUCCAUCAGUGGAGCAGAAGAGAGCAGCAGCCAAGCUGGAGAGAAUCCAGCCUGAGUAAGCGUGCACCAGUUCCAGCCACAGCCUGGGGCAGUCGAGGGGCUGUGACCGCACCAAGGUAUUAUGGAUCCAAAUCCCUGAGGCCUGGGAUUGCACACAGCACCCUCCAAUUUCUCAUGACAUGGGAAUGA
rnacentral:lncRNA from 1 species